rnacentral:tRNA from 1 species
GGCCAGGUAGCUCAGUCGGUAGAGCAGGGGCAUGAAAAUCCUCGUGUCGGCAGGUCGAUUCUGUCGUUGGCCA